UCCAAUACGAUCAUUGAAGUUAAGCAAUAUCGGGGCUGGUUAGUACCUAGGUGGGUGACCGCUUCGGAAUACCAGGUGUUGUAAG